rnacentral:rRNA from 1 species
UGACCGAUAGUGAACCAGUACCGUGAGGGAAAGGUGAAAAGAACCCUGAACAAGGGAGUGAAAAAGAUCCUGAAACCGUGUGUCUACAAGCGGUCGAAGCCUACGGGCGACGGCGUGCCUUUUGCAUAAUGAUCCUACGAGUUACUCCUCAUUGGCAAGGUUAAGUCUUUAAGGGACGAAUCCGAAGCGAAAGCGAGUCUGAAUAGGGCGAUAUAGUCAGUGGGGGUAGACGCGAAACCUUGUGAUCUACCCAUGGCCAGGUUGAAGUUUUGGUAACACAAAAUGGAGGACCGAACUCAUAUACGUUGAAAAGUGUUGAGAUGAGCUGUGGGUAGGGGUGAAAGGCCAAUCAAACUCGGAAAUAGCUCGUACUCCCCGAAAUGCAUUUAGGUGCAGCGUCUAACGAAUACUACCGGGGGUAUAGCACUGAAUUGGCUAGGGGGUUUACCGACUUACCAAACCAUAUCAAACUCAGAAUACCGGUAAGUACUAUUAGGCAGUGAGACUGCGGAUGCUAAGGUCCGUAGUCGAAAGGGAAAGAGCCCAGACCAUCAGCUAAGGUCCCCAAAUCAAUUCUAAGUGGAGAAGGUUGUGGGAUUACUUUGACAUCCAGGAGGUUGGCUUAGAAGCAGC